GCCAUGGCAGAAAAAAAUAGCACCUUCAGGGUCUGAUCAGACAAAAUCUCCUUCACGAAAGAAUGAAGAGAGAAAUAAAACUUUUUUUGUUUUACUGACUGGAAAUACACUAAAAUCCCAUGAGGACUUCAUACAUCGUCUUAAAAAUCAAGUGUGUCUGCAGGAGGUGU